GCCCUUGGGUUCGAUUCCGGAGAGGGAGCCUGAGAAACGGCUACCACAUCUAAGGAAGGCAGCAGGCGCGUAAAUUACCCAAUCCUGAUUCAGGGAGGUAGUGACAAGAAAUAUAAACCCGGGGAAUUCUAUUCUUACGGGAUUUAAAUGAGAACAAUUUAAAUCACUUAGCGAGGAACAAUUGGAGGGCAAGUCUGGUGCCAGCAGCCGCGGUAAUUCCAGCUCCAAUAGCGUAUAUUAAAGUUGUUGCAGUUAAAAAGCUCGUAGUUGAAUUUCUGGUCAGUUGUAGUCUUGGCUUCGGUCGGGCUAUGGCUGGUCAUCCGUUUGCAAGCUGCUCUCGGCCUUCACUGGUUCGGAGUAGUGAGCUGACAAUUUACUUUGAAAAAAUUAGAGUGUUUCAGGCAGGCUUUUGCCCGAAUACAUUAGCAUGGAAUAAUGGAAUUGGACUUAGGUUCAUUUGGUUGGUUAUUGGAUCUGAGUAAUGGUUAAUAGGGACAGUUGGGGGCAUUAGUAUUUAAUUGUCAGAGGUGAAAUUCUUGGAUUUUUUAAAGACUAACUUAUGCGAAAGCAUUUGCCAAGGAUGUUUUCAUUAAUCAAGAACGAAAGUUAGGGGAUAAAAGAUGAUCAGAUACCAUUGUAUUCUUAACUAUAAACUAUACCGACUCGGAAUUGGUAGGGUAUCUUAGCUCUAUCAGCACCGUAGAGAAAUCAAAGUCUUUGGGUUCUGGGGGGAGUAUAGUCGCAAGGCUGAACUUAAAGGAAUUGACGGA
rnacentral:rRNA from 1 species